rnacentral:rRNA from 1 species
UACGUAGGGUGCGAGCGUUAAUCGGAAUUACUGGGCGUAAAGCGUGCGCAGGCGGUGAUGUAAGACAGAUGUGAAAUCCCCGGGCUCAACCUGGGAACUGCAUUUGUGACUGCAUCGCUGGAGUGCGGAAGAGGGGGAUGGAAUUCCGCGUGUAGCAGUGAAAUGCGUAGAUAUGCGGAGGAACACCGAUGGCGAAGGCAAUCCCCUGGGACUGCACUGACGCUCAUGCACGAAAGCGUGGGGAGCAAACAGG